AUUGAACGCUGGCGGCAUGCUUUACACAUGCAAGUCGAACGGCAGCGCGGGCUUCGGCCUGGCGGCGAGUGGCGAACGGGUGAGUAAUACAUCGGAACGUGCCCAGUAGUGGGGGAUAGCUCGGCGAAAGCCGGAUUAAUACCGCAUACGACCUGAGGGUGAAAGCGGGGGAUCUUCGGACCUCGCGCUAUUGGAGCGGCCGAUGGCAGAUUAGCUAGUUGGUGGGGUAAAGGCCUACCAAGGCGACGAUCUGUAGCUGGUCUGAGAGGACGACCAGCCACACUGGGACUGAGACACGGCCCAGACUCCUACGGGAGGCAGCAGUGGGGAAUUUUGGACUAUGGGCGAAAGCCUGAUCCAGCAAUGCCGCGUGUGUGAUGAAGGCCUUCGGGUUGUAAAGCACUUUUGGCGGGAACGAAAAGGACUGUGCCGAUACCACGGUUCGAUGACGGUACCCGCAGAAUAAGCACCGGCUAACUACGUG
rnacentral:rRNA from 1 species